rnacentral:rRNA from 1 species
AGCGAACGCUGGCGGCAGGCCUAACACAUGCAAGUCGAACGAACUCUUCGGAGUUAGUGGCGGACGGGUGAGUAACACGUGGGAACGUGCCUUUAGGUUCGGAAUAACUCAGGGAAACUUGUGCUAAUACCGAAUGUGCCCUUCGGGGGAAAGAUUUAUCGCCUUUAGAGCGGCCCGCGUCUGAUUAGCUAGUUGGUGAGGUAAAGGCUCACCAAGGCGACGAUCAGUAGCUGGUCUGAGAGGAUGAUCAGCCACAUUGGGACUGAGACACGGCCCAAACUCCUACGGGAGGCAGCAGUGGGGACUCUUGCGCAAUGGGCGAAAGCCUGACGCAGCCAUGCCGCGUGAAUGAUGAAGGUCUUAGGAUUGUAAAAUUCUUUCACCGGGGACGAUAAUGACGGUACCCUGAGAAGAAGCCCCGGCUAACUUCGUG